UACGGGGGGGGCAAGCGUUGUUCGGAAUUACUGGGCGUAAAGGGCGCGUAGGCGGCUCGCUAAGUCGGAUGUGAAAACUCUGGGCUCAACCCAGAGCCUGCAUUCGAAACUGACGAGCUGGAGUUCUGGAGGGGAAAGCGGAAUUCCUGGUGUAGCGGUGAAAUGCGUAGAUAUCAAGAGGAACACCGGUGGCGAAGGCGGCUUUCUGGACAGAAACUGACGCUGAUGCGCGAAAGCUAGGGGAGCAAACAGG
rnacentral:rRNA from 1 species